CUGGAUAGGAAUAAGCAGGGGCAAGAAAGGAGUUUCGACUCAAACCUGUUCCUACGGGCCUCUCGCAAAGGAAAGGCAGAGUGCCGAGGCCUCGAGCCAAACUCCAGGCCGCCCAGGACUCCAGUGCUUGAGCUCUGGAGGCCAGAGGUCCAAAGUGAAGGCGUUAGCAGGGUCGGGACUCCCUCCGAAGGCUUUAGGGGAGAAGCCUUCCUUGCUUCUUCCAGCUUCUGGUGGCUCCAGAAGAAUCAGAGGAGAGCCAGAGAGACAGCCAACCUUCCCCUUCUGGGUGCUCAGAGCAUACCUUGCACAUUGGGUGAUGGAAGAAAGCCACAAGCUGAACGUGUAGCAGAGCUGCUGACCAACACAGGCAAGUUUAAAUGGGAGUGUGCAUGGCCAGACUUAAGUUUAAGACGGUUAACAUCAGGUCUUUCAACUUCACAUAGUAAUAAAACCCAGCAACAACACAGCAUCAAUCAACUAAAUAAGGAGCGUGCACUCACCCCUGGGGGAGCCCUGCAGACAGAUUCCACUUCCAAGUUGAAAGGAUGGUUGGAAACGCCUCCUCCACCUCGAGCCCUCUGCUCUGCAAGCACUUUGCAAUUUUCUUUCUUUCCUGAAAGUAUUUUAGCCCCGAUACAAAUAGGCUGACUUCUCUGCAUAACCUAGCUCACUUGUCUACCACAGAGUUAGUAAGUCUCAUUGUUUCAAAGUCCUUUGCGUUUGAUUUUUAAACUCCCUGACAACUCUAUCUGGUUUUAAUUAACUUCUUUGAAUUCAGUUAUUUUAGACUCAAAAGUGUGCCUGGAUAAAAAUUAGCAUUAUCAGUGUGUGUGAGAGUGCGUUUUAAACCUGCGGUAAGCUUUCUCCUU